AAUUUGCUGCGGACUGAUAAAAUGGAUGUGGGCGUCGAUACCGCCGGCCGUAAUGAUUUUCCCCUCACCUGCGAUCGCCUCAGUUCCUGGGCCAAUAACUAUGUCAACUUUUGAUUGGAUAUCUGGGUUUCCGGCUUUUCCAAUUUUUGAAAUUCGUCCAUCCUUAAUUCCGAUGUCCGCUUUUGUAAUGCCCCAAUAGUCAAGAAUAACCGCGUUUGUGAUUACCGUAUCAACUGCGCCGUCAGCACGAGUCACUUGAGAUUGCCCCAUACCAUCGCG
rnacentral:sRNA from 1 species